CGCAAACGGGCUCUAGGAUGGGCAUUUGCAGGCUGCCGUUGACGCCAACGUCCUGGCCAUGGCCGCCAUAGAUGAGAAUACUCGGUGCCAUAGAACAGCCCAACGGCUCGGACAUUGUUGAACGCGUUAUAAAUGUUUUAAUAUUGCUCACGUAUUUGUGCCAAGUCGCCCUGUGGACUGGAGGGCGUGGCUGGAACACUGCUUGCCUUGCGUUUGCUUGAAGUCGAAUUGGUCAUUUUUUGCUCGCGUAAUGCGUUAAUGCUUUCAGUCAAAAUCUCGCGUUCAGUUCUACCGGUAUAACGGAACUUUGUGCCCCAGGAGAAGAAGCCACCGCCAGAGACAACAGCCGCGUGCUGGCUAUUUGGUAAACUGUGGAAAACGAAUGCAGAUAAAUAAAAGAUCGAGGAUAUAUCUAAAUAUACUUUACGUGAAGAACAGCAUUUGCUCGAUCGCACACCUCCACAGAUAACGGCAAGCGGGUCCCGAGGGGCACUUAAAGCCAAUUGUGUGCUUUUUCUGCAAAUAACAUUUUAGAGAAGAUCCUUGCUGCAAUUUAUACGCAACUACUUACGGGCUCUCGGCUGGCAUCCGUGAAGCUCAAAUGUGCAAUAAACAUUUUGCCCUCAAA